UCCCCGUUAUCCUGGUUUCUCAGGAGUUUCCCAUGCAUGUCAAGCCUAGGUAAGGUUCUUCGCGUUGCGUCGAAUUAAACCACAUGCUCCACCGCUUGUGCGGGCCCCCGUCAAUUCCUUUGAGUUUCAGCCUUGCGGCCGUACUCCCCAGGCGGGGUACUUCCUGCGUUAGCGCCGGCACCCAAGGGGUCGCUCCCCCAGGCACCUAGUACCCAUCGUUUACGGCGUGGACUAC
rnacentral:misc_RNA from 1 species